UCACCCAGUCUUGGUGUAUGUAGAUGUUUUCUUAAUAUUUCUUAAUAUUCUAUUUAGGAUGAGCUUAUCAUGGAACAUAAGAAAAAUAAAACAGAUGUCAGCCUGUGUAUGAAGAAUUCAUCCACAAGGUUUGACCGAAGACCAUGAGACUUCCUACCCACAGUGAGCUAAAAGGACGCUUUUGUCAGAGUGGGGAAAUAAAAGGGCUUUAUGGGAAGGAAGAUAAGAACAGAUGAGUCAGAGGUUUCUGCUUAAUGCUCACUCUUCAAUUCUUUCCCAAGCAAAACCAAGAAUCUUCUUGGGCUAGGCCCCAGUUUGGGGUUCACCUGCCUUGCAGCAACAUGGCACCAAACAUGGGGCAGAAGAGAGAAGACAACAGCAUGACAGACGGAGAAAGAAAUGGCAGUUGGCAAGGUGGUAAUGAGAGACGGCAGUUGGCAAGACAGUGAGAGACAGCAAGAGAUGGUGGUACAGCCAAGCAGACAGGCAAGUGGCCAUACUGCUGCUGCCUCAUGUGGGAUUCGGCAGGCUGGUGGGUUAUCAGUCCUCACGUGGGACCCUCCCACCAUGGCAGCUGAGCGCAUCCAAGCUGGGGGAUCCUGAAGAGACCUUCACCUGGGUGCCAUGUGGAAGAUUGGUCAGCACCAUUUUGACUCCUGUGGAUGGUUCCAGGUAAAGACAAUCCUUGCACAAGGCUUCCAACUCGACCCGUCUACUGACCUGGAGAAUGAAAGUGUCCUGCCUCUGGG
rnacentral:lncRNA from 1 species